ACUCAAAUGAAUUGACGGGGACCCGCACAAGCGGUGGAGCAUGUGGUUUAAUUGGAUGGUAAGCCGGGCACCUCACCCAGAUUUGACAUCCUGCUGAAAGGCACUAGAAAUAGAGCCCCUCUUACGACAGCAGAGACAGGUGCUGCACGGUUGUCGUCAGCUCGUGUUGUGAAAUGUACGGUUAAGUCCGAUAACGAGCGCAACCCUUAUUGCCAGUUAGAUAUGUCUGGCGAGACUGCCGUGGUUAACACGGAGGAAGGUGGGGAUGACGUCAAAUCAGCGUGGCCUUUAUAUCUGGGGCGACACACGUGCUACAAUGGGUAGGUCACAAUGGGAUGCUAAACCGUAAGGUGGAGCCAAACCCAACAAAACUACCCCAAGUUCGGAUUGAGGUCUGCAACUCGACCUCAUGAAGCUGGAAUCGCUAGUAACCGCAAAUCAGCCAUGUUGCGGUGAAUACGUUCUCGGGUCUUGUACACACCGCCCGU
rnacentral:rRNA from 1 species